CCUCGCCUGUUUAUCAAAAACAUCUCUUUUUGAAUAAAUAAAAAGUACCGCCUGCUCAAUGCAUUUUGUAAAUGGCCGCAGUAUUUUGACUGUGCUAAGGUAGCAUAAUCAUUAGUCUUUUAAUUGAAGGCUGGUAUGAAUGGUGAGACGAGAAAAUAGCUGUCUCUGAAAUAGAUUUUGAAUUUUAUUUUUAAGUGAAAAAGCUUAAAUGCGUUUGGGGGACGAUCAGACCCUCUGGAGCUUUAUUUAUCCUCUUAUUUACACUUAUUUAAGAUUAUGAAAUAGUCGGGUAAAUUUUGUUGGGGCGACAGGAAGAUUAAAAUAACACUUCUUUUUUAAAACGCUUUUAAGCGAAAUAUUGAUCCUUAGGGAGAGAUUAAAAGAUUAAGUUACCCUAGGGAUAACAGCGUAAUCUUUAAACACAUACAUGAUCUGUGAUCAGACCCGACCCCGCCCGUUAUCAAAAACACAUACGUGAUCUGAGUCAGA
rnacentral:rRNA from 1 species